AUUGAACGCUGGCGGCAUGCCUUACACAUGCAAGUCGAACGGCAGCACGGGAGCAAUCCUGGUGGCGAGUGGCGAACGGGUGAGUAAUAUAUCGGAACGUGCCCAGUCGUGGGGGAUAACGCAGCGAAAGCUGUGCUAAUACCGCAUACGAUCUACGGAUGAAAGCGGGGGAUCGCAAGACCUCGCGCGAUUGGAGCGGCCGAUAUCAGAUUAGCUAGUUGGUGAGGUAAAGGCUCACCAAGGCAACGAUCUGUAGCUGGUCUGAGAGGACGACCAGCCACACUGGAACUGAGACAAGGUCCAGACUCCUACGGGAGGCAGCAGUGGGGAAUUUUUGACAAUGGGCGCAAGCCUGAUCCAGCAAUGCCGCGUGCAGGAUGAAGGCCUUCGGGUUGUAAACUGCUUUUGUACGGAACGAAACGGCGAGCUCUAAUACAGUUUGCUAAUGACGGUACCGUAAGAAUAAGCACCGGCUAACUACGUGCCAGCCGCCGCAGUAACAC
rnacentral:rRNA from 1 species